CCCACCCUUCCUUGUACUAUAGUGCCCCAUGUAACCUAUUGUAUGUAAAUGAGGCUGUUGGGGGUUUAAAUGUAUGUAUAAAUUGUAAGUGCUGGCUUCCAUUAAACAGACCUGCUUUACCCCUUCAUGAAGUCUUGGCUCAUGUUUGAGGGAUUGGAGAACUACACUCUGGUGAUUGCUGUAAUCACUAUACUCCCCUGUGUAUAAUCACUAGCUCUUCUAAGAACUGUUCCUACUACACUCUCUGGAGUAGGAGAGGUCUGACCACUGGAAGCUGGAUCCUGGUCUUGGGUCCAAUGUGGCUGCAUCACUGGAAGUGGGGUCUGCAGUGCUUAUGGUGUCUGGUGGAAU